rnacentral:lncRNA from 1 species
AAAAACUAAGUUUGAGAUUACUUCCGGAAUAAGUAAUGAUUUAAGUUUGAGGUUGGGGUACUAGAGUUUAAGAAUAACAAAAUUUAAAAGAAGAUAUAAAGAAGGGUUAUAAAGUAAAACAUAGAACUUCUAAAAAGAGAGAAAAAAAGAGAAAAAAAAGUCGAAUUCUAGUACUCAUAAGUAAAAACAAUCAAAGAAUAUGCAAGGAUGGGGUGAAAAUAGGAAGGUAGCAGGUAUUUAAAUCCAAGGAAUGAAACCGUUUGGCCAAAUAUAU